rnacentral:rRNA from 1 species
GACGAACCGUGCGAACGUUGUUCGGAAUCACUGGGCUUAAAGGGCGCGUAGGCGGGCGGUCAAGUCAGGGGUGAAAUCCGGCAGCUCAACUGUCGAACAGCUUCUGAUACUGGCCGUCUUGAGGGGGGUAGGGGCAUGUGGAACUUCCGGUGGAGCGGUGAAAUGCGUAGAUAUCGGAAGGAACGCCGGUGGCGAAAGCGACGUGCUGGACCCUUUCUGACGCUGAGGCGCGAAAGCCAGGGGAGCAAACGGG